rnacentral:misc_RNA from 1 species
ACUGAAGCUAUGAGACCGAGGCCCUUGAGGACAAGGAUCGCGCCGACGGUCAAGUAGCCCAUACCUGCUCCAGGUCCACUGUGGGGACGCCCUCCGGGUUCCCUUCAACACCCUCGAGCGCCCCGCUCUGACCCUCUUCACGAUUCUGCGUAGUCGCGGUUAGUGUGCCAGGCGGGCCCUUUUUCUGUGGGCGGCUCGCUG